AUGCAAGUCGAACGGUAACAUGACUAGCUUGCUAGUUGAUGACGAGUGGCGGACGGGUGAGUAACGCGUAGGAAUCUACCCAGUAGCGGGGGAUAAGCCAGAGAAAUUUGGUCUAAUACCGCAUACGCCCUUCGGGGGAAAGCAGGGGAUCUUCGGACCUUGCACUAUAGGAUGAGCCUGCGUGAGAUUAGCUUGUUGGUGAGGUAAUGGCUCACCAAGGCGACGAUCUCUAGCUGGUCUGAGAGGAUGAUCAGCCACACUGGAACUGAGACACGGUCCAGACUCCUACGGGAGGCAGCAGUGGGGAAUAUUGCACAAUGGGCGCAAGCCUGAUGCAGCCAUGCCGCGUGUGUGAAGAAGGCCCUAGGGUCGUAAAGCACUUUCAGCAGUGAGGAAAGGUUAGUAGUUAAUACCUGCUAGCUGUGACGUUAACUGCAGAAGAAGCACCGGCUAACUCCGUGCCAGCAGCCGCGGUAAUACGGAGGGUGCGAGCGUUAAUCGGAAUUACUGGGCGUAAAGCGCGCGUAGGUGGAUUGGUCAGUCAGAUGUGAAAGCCCA
rnacentral:rRNA from 1 species